UUUACUAGCCCGUACUGGUAUUUGGAGAGAAGCUUUAUAAACAUACAGCUGACUAUUCAUGGAAGAAGUAAGCCAACUAGUCAAAUUCUUUUUAGCUAAAUAUAUAUAAAAUGAAAACCCUAGUAAGAAUAAAUAAAGGCUAGGUCACUUUUUAAAAUCUAAAAUGGUGAAAUUUUGAGAGAUUACUAGAUUUGACAUCCUUACUUGACAUCUCCAAAAUUCAUAGUUGGAGUUCUGUAGAUGCUAUCAAGGGAGCUGCAUCUUGGCACACAAAGGUGUUCAAAAAAACCGGCAUACACAGCUAUUGCUGGGAAUGAAAGAAAACGCAAUCACAGGAUGAAAAUCCAACAGACACAGAAACAGAAACAAGGUGAAGAAUACAACACACCCAGAAAAUAA
rnacentral:lncRNA from 1 species